GAUGAACGCUGGCGGCGUGCUUAACACAUGCAAGUCGAACGGUGAAGGCGGAGCUUGCUCUGCUGGAUCAGUGGCGAACGGGUGAGUAACACGUGAGCAAUCUGCCCCUGACUCUGGGAUAAGCGCUGGAAACGGCGUCUAAUACUGGAUACGAGCUGCGAAGGCAUCUUCAGCAGCUGGAAAGAAUUUCGGUCAGGGAUGAGCUCGCGGCCUAUCAGCUUGUUGGUGAGGUAAUGGCUCACCAAGGCGUCGACGGGUAGCCGGCCUGAGAGGGUGACCGGCAAACUGGGACUGGGAAAAGGGCCAGACUCCUACGGGAGGCAGCAGUGGGGAAUAUUGCACAAUGGGCGAAAGCCUGAUGCAGCAACGCCGCGUGAGGGACGACGGCCUUCGGGUUGUAAACCUCUUUUAGCAGGGAAGAAGCGAAAGUGACGGUACCUGCAGAAAAAGCGCCGGCUAACUACGUG
rnacentral:rRNA from 1 species